UGGAUUGAUUAACGGGCUAAUGGAUUAAUGGGUUAUCAUGGGAGUUGGUUAGUUAUCACAAGGGAGGGUCUGUUAUAAAAGCCAGUUCAGCUCUCUCUUGUGGCCCCCUCUCUCUCUGUGAUGUCUUCUGCCAUCUUGUGAUGCAGCAAGAAGGCCCUCACCAGAUGCCAGUGCCAUGCUCUUAAGACUUCCCAUCCUCCAGAACUGUGUCAAAAUUCACUCUUCACAAAUCCCUGAAGCUCUGGAAUCCUGCAGCUGGAAAUGCGGCACCCAAAGACAUGGCAUGCAGAGUGGAAAUAGUCCCGCGUGAGGUCGGGAGUCCACAGUGUCGGGAGAAUUGGGUUCUCAUGUUGGCAUUACUGCAAAUUUGUUAUGGGCUUAGAGGAAGUUACGACUGUCACCUGCUGGACACUUCACUGACAUGCAGAAACCCAGGACAAGAGGAACGCAUUCUACCGUCAAGGGGGCCACAGAUUACCCAACCUGUAUUUCUCUCUGGUAUCUGUUCACUUAUUUUAAAAUAAAAAUAUUUUUGUACUGCUUGAA